rnacentral:snRNA from 1 species
GUGCUCACUUUGGUAGCACAUGUACUAAAAUUGGAACAAAUCAGAGAAGAUUGGCAUGGCCCCUGUGCAAGGAUGACACACAGAUUUAACAAUUUAG